rnacentral:tRNA from 1 species
GGAGUUGUGGCUCAGCAGUAGAACACUCACCUAGCAAGUGUGAGGCCAUGAGUUUGAUUCUCAACACCA